rnacentral:rRNA from 1 species
UACGGGGGGGGCAAGCGUUGUUCGGAAUUACUGGGCGUAAAGGGCUCGUAGGUGGCCAACUCAGUCAGACGUGAAAUCCCUCGGCUUAACCGGGGAACUGCGUCUGAUACUGGAUGGCUUGAGAUUGGGAGAGGGAUGCGGAAUUCCAGGUGUAGCGGUGAAAUGCGCAGAUAUCAGGAGGAACACCGGUGGCGAAGGCGGGUCUCUGGGCCGAUACUGACGCUGAGGAGCGAAAGCGUGGGGAGCGAACAGG